AAUACUUAAAAAAUAUUUAAAAAACUUUAAAAAAAAAUUUAAAACAUAAUUUUCGUUUUUCAAAAAGAAAUUUGAAAAAAAUAAAAAACAAAUUCGAAAAAAAAAAAUUCAAAAAAAAAUUAUAAAAAAGUUCGAAUUGCAAAAAGUAUAAUUCGAUUUUUUUUUUUUUAAAAUAAUGAUUUAUUAUAUAGAUAAAUAACAAGGGCAUAAGAGUCUUUUGCUACUUAAUGAAGAAGAUAUUUUUGAAAAUAUCUCCUUAUUGGUGAUAAAAAUGAAAAGUAGUCCCAUGAAAGUGGUAAACAUGUAAUUUCUCCAACAAAAAUUUUAAUUAAAACUUUAAAGGGAAAAUUACAUGUAAACUUUCAUUUAAUUUAAUUUCCCCAACAAAACCUUACCCCAC
rnacentral:lncRNA from 1 species